rnacentral:tRNA from 1 species
AACAAAGAAGUAAACAAUUACAUUUAGUUUCGACCUAAAAAUAGGAAAUUUAAUCCCUUGUUU